CCCCCUGUGACUGAAAACUGCUUUGUCAUUGCCUUCUUAAUAGCUGCUGAGCAAAAACAAGGAGCUGAACUUCAAGAUAAAGCCUGAAGGAAGGAUUAAAGAGUGGAACGAUGCUGUGACUGUUCAUCUCUGGAUUGCGGCAUGUUGUCCACUGGAUAACCUCCUGUUGCUGCUCCAAUGGGAGGAAGGAGCCGGUUUCAAGCUGCCAGUGUCAAGGGCUGAAGGUGUGGACGAUCAACUGUGAUGCAAAACCCUCCCAUCAGCAGACUCUUCCAUAACGUGUCCCACUGCAUCUACUGUCGCUGGGGCUUUCAUGUUUACAUCUGCUUCACCUGAACUCUGGCUUGUGCUGCACUUGUACUAAUGGUGACUUGUCUGAAAGCUCCUGCUGAAGGAAGCUGGACAAUGUCUGACAGCUCACAAGUGCACAGCACUCGCUCUCCAUCCUGUUACGUCAUCUGGUAAAAAUGUGACUUUGUAAGCCCAAUAUUCUGACCUACAAACUGAUUAAAG